UGGGGAAUAUUGGACAAUGGGCGAAAGCCUGAUCCAGCAAUGCCGCGUGAGUGAUGAAGGCCUUAGGGUUGUAAAGCUCUUUUACCCGGGAAGAUAAUGACUGUACCGGGAGAAUAAGCCCCGGCUAACUCCGUGCCAGCAGCCGCGGUAAUACGGAGGGGGCUAGCGUUGUUCGGAAUUACUGGGCGUAAAGCGUACGUAGGCGGUUUUGUAAGUUAGAGGUGAAAGCCCGGAGCUCAACUUCGGAAUUGCCUUUAAGACUGCAUCACUUGAACGUCGGAGAGGUGAGUGGAAUUCCGAGUGUAGAGGUGAAAUUCGUAGAUAUUCGGAAGAACACCAGUGGCGAAGGCGGCUCACUGGACGACUGUUGACGCUGAGGUACGAAAGCGUGGGGAGCAAACA
rnacentral:rRNA from 1 species